rnacentral:rRNA from 1 species
UACGUAGGGACCAAGCGUUGUUCGGAUUCACUGGGCGUAAAGGGUGCGUAGGCGGUCGGGUAAGUCUGAUGUGAAAUCUCACAGCUUAACUGUGAAACUGCAUUGGAUACUAUCCGGCUCGAGGAAUGGAGGGGAGACUGGAAUACUUGGUGUAGCAGUGAAAUGCGUAGAUAUCAAGUGGAACACCAGUGGCGAAGGCGAGUCUCUAGACAUUUCCUGACGCUGAGGCACGAAAGCCAGGGGAGCAAACGGG